GCACGUACUGCAUGCAUUUACACGGCAAACAAAGCUGCCAUUGCGAUUAUUACAAGAAACACAGUAUUUUACCACUUUUACCACGUCUGAAGUUAGUUUUGGACGUCAAAUUCCUCAACGCCAACUGUACUGCUGGAUAACUGAAACUAAAGCCAAGAUUGAAUAAACACAGUUACAUUGGUUCUUCGGAGGCCAGCUCAGUUGAUUGUUGUACUUAUACAAUCCCAAGAGGAAUUUGCCAUCCGUAAUAGUUCCUUUUCGUCAACAAGCCACCUGACUUAACAAAGCUUUAAUGAAACUUCCAUUUAAAAGUUGUAAACAACGGGUCUCCUGGAGGAUACAAGCACUUGGGCUGGUACCAACCUACACCAUGGACGAGAAGAGGUUUCAUAUUCAACAAGAUGGAUUUUCCAUUUCUUUCAUUAAAAGAAAGAGUACCGAAUUCCAAUGACUUGGGCAGUCCUUUGAUCGAUGAGGUAAUACAGCUUCAUAGAUACAAUAAAUAAUUUUUUAUGCAGUUCAUGCAGGUAUAUCAAAGUUCAACUCUUAUUUUUGGUACAUGUAUUUCCAAAUUCUUUAAAAGAAAGAAAGAACAAUCGAAUUGAAUGAAAAAUUAACUUUUUUAUAUAUAUAUAUAUUGUAUCGUAUCCGAACAUCUACCCCCUGGACAUCCACCUCCCGGACAUCCACCCCCCGGACAUCCACCCCCCGGACAUCCACCCCCUUAGGACAUCUACCCCCUAGGACAUCUACCCCCGGACAUUUACCCCCCGGACAUCUACCCCCCGGACAAUUACCCCCCGGACAUCUACCCCCUAGGACAUCUACCCCCGGACAUUUACCCCCCGGACAUCUACCCCCCGGACAAUUACCCCCCGGACAUUUACCCCCCCGGACAUCUACCCCCGGACAUUUACCCCCCGGACAUUUACCCCCCGGACAUUUACCCCCCGGACAUCUACCCCCCGGACAUCUACCCCCUAGACAAUUACCCCCUGGACAUUUCAAUUAUUUGAGUUGUAACGUCAUAUUCGGGCAGCAUUUCUACAUAAGGAAUUUUUUUUUUCUAUACCUUUUCUAUAUCAAAGGACCAAUCAUUUUACACCCAAACAUGAAAAGAAAACACAAAAUAACAAAAAUAUGUCCUCUGGAACC